rnacentral:rRNA from 1 species
GAUGAACGCUGGCGGCGUGCCUAAUACAUGCAAGUCGAGCGAACAGACGAGGAGCUUGCUCCUCUGACGUUAGCGGCGGACGGGUGAGUAACACGUGGAUAACCGACCUAUAAGACUGGGAUAACUUCGGGAAACCGGAGCUAAUACCGGAUAAUAUAUUGAACCGCAUGGUUCAAUAGUGAAAGACGGUUUUGCUGUCACUUAUAGAUGGAUCCGCGCCGCAUUAGCUAGUUGGUAAGGUAACGGCUUACCAAGGCGACGAUGCGUAGCCGACCUGAGAGGGUGAUCGGCCACACUGGAACUGAGACACGGUCCAGACUCCUACGGGAGGCAGCAGUAGGGAAUCUUCCGCAAUGGGCGAAAGCCUGACGGAGCAACGCCGCGUGAGUGAUGAAGGUCUUCGGAUCGUAAAACUCUGUUAUUAGGGAAGAACAAAUGUGUAAGUAACUAUGCACGUCUUGACGGUACCUAAUCAGAAAGCCACGGCUAACUACGUG